GAACCCAGAUCGAUUUUUUUAAAAAUCAGACCACGUGUUCGGGGGAAGGGACGUCACGUGUGAUGAGAAUCAUGAUACUGCGAGCAAAUCGGUUUCCUUGUCAGGUGGCCUUUAAUGAUUGUAAAAUUGAAAAAAAUGGUGUCACAUCUUCUUUAGAAAAAUGAAAAAUGAAUCAUAGUUUAUCGAAGCUGACGAGAGGAGUGGAAUUUGCACCGUUGAGAACUUUAAGCGAUUUCCUAUUAGAAUCUGCCAGAUUUCAAAUUCCUGACUUCAAAGACCAGAACAGAUGGGCUAAUCGAAUUAGAAAUAACCUUUUAUACUACCAGACGAAUUACUUUUUAAUGAUUUUUUUGAUAUAUUUAAUUUUCUUGUGUUGGACAAGUGAACGAAACCCAGAAAACUAAGUGAUCGGCUUGCUUUUCGGGCACAAACCCCCCGCAACCACCGGUGUUUGGUGGUUUUAUCCGUUUGAUCGUUGACGAGCAAGCGGGUUUCGGUUUGU